rnacentral:lncRNA from 1 species
AUGUCUGGAAGAAAGGCACAAGAGACUGAGUGCAGUUCCUCAAAAGCUGGGGCCAUCUGGACACAGUCCUGUCCCUUGUACAAGCUGUCAGCAGCACCGAGGGAUUGCUCUGGCAGCCAGAAUUGCUGGCUCAUCCGAGAGACUCCAUGCUCAUGGCCAGGAGGGCAGAUGGCACCGGAUCCACUACAGUGGCUUUGCACCACCUGGUUCCCCUGUUCAGGAGCGUCCUGCAGAGCCAGCUGGCCUUACAUCGGGCUUCGCCAAAGCAACAACCUGAGGUGGGUGACAAAGCAAAACAGUGAGAAAGCAGCUGCCACAAUGCCUGCAAAAGAAUAUAUAUGUGCAGCAAUUGAUUUCUUCAACCGCCUCUCCUCAGCACUUGCUCAGGGGAGACCUGAUGCAGUAAUUAAAAUUUGGGCUGGUGCUUUGAGUUGCCCAAGUAAUGAGUAUGAAGAAGAGUAA